GAUGAAGAACGUAGCGAAAUGCGAUAAGUAAUGCGAAUUGCAGAAUCCGUGAGUCAUCGAAUCUUUGAACGCACAUUGCGCCCUCUGGUAUUCCGGAGGGCAUGCCUGUUCGAGCGUCAUUAUCACCCCUCAAGCCCGGCUUGUUGUUGGAUGCAGCACUCAUCCCGCUCCUCCCAAAGAUAAUGACGGCGUCUGCGACGACUCCUGUACACUGAGCUUUCGGGCACGUACACGGCUAGAAGUCCAGACCCGGUCGCCGUCCCCCCCACGGGACACCCAUUACCACAAGGUUGACCUCGGAUCAGGUAGGAAUACCCGCUGAACUUAAGCAUAUCAAUAAGCGGAGGA
rnacentral:misc_RNA from 1 species